rnacentral:lncRNA from 1 species
CCUGCACCCGUGCAUAUAUGCAACUCAUUGUCAUUGCAUAUUUAGCAUUAAAAAAUAACUAAAAGAGAAAAGACGCGUUCGAAUUUGAUAAUGAGACUUAGUGCUUGAUAUAAUGAGAUGGAACAUUGCACAAAAGGGACAAAAAGGGUUAGAUGAAUGUUGUACCCAUUUCCUGCAACUUAUUUUAGAUCUUGCUAAAACUCCUGCCAAUGAAUGCACGCUGGCAAAUUACCAAUACACCGGAAAAUUACUCAUUGCGGAUGUAGUACAAAACUCCGGUUUAAGAAUAAUAAUGUCUAAAAAUUCAUUAUGAUAAUGGGAGGGCUGGUGUGUUGGCAGAGAAUGAUUCUUUAAGGCUAUCAAUGAAUUUUAGCUUCCAGAAUACAAUAAGCCUUCACAAAUAGUAUCCAUUAGAAUUACUUAAUUCUGAUGCAAUGUCAAAAUUUACAGCCUUUUUUUCUUUUUUCUUUUUUCUUUUUUUUUUUUUUUAACUUUCCUUACAAGAAGUCAGUAUCCUGCACGAGUUCCAGCUUGACUCUGAUCCAUAUGCAGAGAGAGAAGAAUAAAAUUAAAUUAUGAAAUUAUGCAGGACAAAAUGCCACUUUUGAAAUUUUCACGAGGGACCAAGUCCAAAACAAUAAACGUUUCUUUAACAUGUAAAGCCAUUAGAAUUUAAAUUUUUUUCUGUAUUUUAUAUGUUCAACAUCGUAGUAAAAUGUUAUUAAUAAUAAACUUCUUAAUUAAUUAUGUUAAAUGCAAUUUAAAUAUAUAUUAAAAUUCUGAAUUAUUAUAUGCCCAUCAAAAUCAAAAUUUCCAUUUUUUAAAUGAUUAUCAAUUAUCCUCUAAAUGUUCCUUCAUAAUAAUGUAAUAAAGUAGUAUCUACGUAGUAUAAUUGCAAUUAAAAAAAAUAAAGGGUAUGAUCAAAAAAAUGCGCCAAUGUUAGCAAAUAUAAUAAUAAGUAUGCUCAAAGAUAUUGUCUUACAUAUUAUGCUAAUAUUCAAGAAAUACUAGUAAAAUGACGUAAUUUGAUUUGAAGUGUUAGUAAAUAUUUUUGUAAUAACAACUAAAAGAAUUUGCAUUGAUAAAUUAUCUGCACUAUUCAAUUUUAAAAUUUGAAAUAUGUUCAUCAAUAGAUUAUUUCUGUUAAUUCUUUAAAUUGUAUUAAAUUCAGCUGUUUAAUAUGCCACGCAUAGUACAGGUAUUAGGGCAGGUGGCUUAUGUUUGUAAACCAUUUUUUAAGGUUCAACUUUAUAUAUAUAUAUAUACACGUAUAAAUACAUAUAGAAAUCUUAUGCGGAUUUAGAAAGGAAGAAUGUGGAAUUCACUGUUAGAGAUAAAAUAUUUUUCGAAGUUUCACUAUCGAAGAAAGUGUUUUGAGAUUUAAUAAGAAAGUUAAAGUUAACUCUAGAUUUAUUGGUUCAUAUAAGAUAAUUUAUAUAUAUAUAUAUAUGAGUUGCAAUUGCAGUAAUUUAACACCAUGGGUCUGAUAAGGAUUGUGUGAUUGGCUUGCAGUUUCUAUUUUAAAUAAGAUAAGGGUUGUUGUAGAUUACUUUGAAUCAUCCUUGUCAUAUAAGUUCCCUCCUAUCUUGAUUGUAACUCUACGUAUGUACUAACUGCUCUACACAAAAUGAAAAGCAUGUAAUCAUUCUACUGCCAUAGAGUCAAGACAAAAACACUGCAUCAAAACACCACUUCAAAGUUCAAACAUCAGAGCAGGAGCGAGUUUUUCUAUCGCCUAAAUUAAUUUCUGGCGUUCAAAUUUCAUGCACUAGAUAUGCCAAUUUUCCAUACAUGAAAUUAUAGCUUAAUUUGUACAUGCUUUUGGGGGAAAAUCAUUCAGUACACUCAUUUUGUGAAGGUGCUUCUUCAUUCAGUACACUCAUUUUGUGAAGGUGCUUCUUUACUUACAAAUAUAGACCUCACUAUUGAAAAAAUUAAUUUUCUUUAGUAAAGAAAUAUCGACGUGUGGUAGACUAGGUGUACUGAAUAUUAUAAUUUGAGGCUUUUGAGUUUAGAAUAUAAUAUUUUCAUUAUGAAAAUUCUUAUAUAAAUUCAAUUCACUGAACCCAAAAAAAAAUCAUAAACUCAAGAAACGUUGAAGUGAGUUAUCUAUUUUUUUCAUAAAGAGAUCUACUUUUUUAUAUCUUAGUCCAUGGUAUAAUGGGUGCACACAAGUAUUUCUUAUUGCUGUAAUA